rnacentral:rRNA from 1 species
UACGAAGGGGACUAGCGUUGUUCGGAAUCACUGGGCGUAAAGCGCGCGUAGGCGGCUUUGUAAGUCAGGGGUGAAAUCCCGGGGCUCAACCUCGGAACUGCCUUUGAUACUGCGAAUCUUGAGUCCGAUAGAGGUGGGUGGAAUUCCUAGUGUAGAGGUGAAAUUCGUAGAUAUUAGGAAGAACACCAGUGGCGAAGGCGGCCCACUGGAUCGGUACUGACGCUGAGGUGCGAAAGCGUGGGGAGCAAACAGG